rnacentral:rRNA from 1 species
AUUGAACGCUGGCGGCAGGCCUAACACAUGCAAGUCGAGCGGAUGAAGGGAGCUUGCUCCUGGAUUCAGCGGCGGACGGGUGAGUAAUGCCUAGGAAUCUGCCUGGUAGUGGGGGAUAACGUCCGGAAACGGGCGCUAAUACCGCAUACGUCCUGAGGGAGAAAGUGGGGGAUCUUCGGACCUCACGCUAUCAGAUGAGCCUAGGUCGGAUUAGCUAGUUGGUGGGGUAAAGGGCUACCCAGGCGACGAUCCGUAACUGGUCUGAGAGGAUGAUCAGGCACCGUUGAACUGAGACACGGUCCAGACUCCUACGGGAGGCAGCAGUGGGGAAUAUUGGACAAUGGGCGAAAGCCUGAUCCAGCCAUGCCGCGUGUGUGAAGAAGGUCUUCGGAUUGUAAAGCACUUUAAGUUGGGAGGAAGGGCAGUAAGUUAAUACCUUGCUGUUUUGACGGUACCAGCAGAAUAAGCACCGGCUAACUUCGUG